AGUAACGCGUGAGGAACCUGCCUCAAAGAGGGGGACAACAGUUGGAAACGACUGCUAAUACCGCAUAAGCCCACGGCUCGGCAUCGAGCAGAGGGAAAAGGAGCAAUCCGCUUUGAGAUGGCCUCGCGUCCGAUUAGCUAGUUGGUGAGGUAAUGGCCCACCAAGGCAACGAUCGGUAGCCGGACUGAGAGGUUGAACGGCCACAUUGGGACUGAGACACGGCCCAG
rnacentral:rRNA from 1 species